CAUCAUGUGAUUAAAAAUAAUUUUCUUGAGCUGGACCAUCAAAAUUAAUGACAUUUAAUAAUACCUAGAUUUGCAUUCAUAAUAAUGGAUAGCGUCGUUGAAUGAAAAUCAGCAGGACCCUCUAUUUUAGUAAUCUAGUGCGCACAAAUUGAGCGUUGCAACGCUCCGUUUUAAAAGCUAAUAAUGCAUUUUAGAUGGUAUUGUACAAAUUGGAUUUUUUACAGCAAGCGUUAAUGAAAAUGGAUACAAAAUUUUAAGAUGGAUAUGGAGUUUCCACAGCAUGAUAUAACUGUAUCAUGUUUAAAGAAGAAGUUGAAUAUGGAUAUAUCAAAUUCAUGCAAUGAUAAAGUGCAGAAAAACUACUGACAAUUUUAGUCCUACUACACUAAGGGCUACGUUCAAAAAUAAAUGCACUCAUGGGUGAAAGACUUUUGGCUCUUCUGGAAUAGGUGCUAUCUGAAAGCCAAAUGUAUCUACAAUCAAUGGCAGAAGGCUUGGAAAGUAUCAGCCAUUCAAAUUAAUACUUUUUUAAAUGUGAAGUAUCAAGAUUGUAUCAUAUUUUGAUGGAGCAAUCAAAGGAUUAAAAUACUACUGUUGAUUUUUCACCAGCAAAUUCAACACAAACAACUUUAA